UACGAAGGGUGCAAGCGUUGCUCGGAAUUAUUGGGCGUAAAGCGCACGUAGGCGGCUUGGCAAGUCGGAUGUGAAAGCCCUCGGCUCAACCAAGGAAGUGCAUUCGAAACUGCUGAGCUUGAGUACUUAAGAGGAGCGCGGAAUUCCCGGUGUAGAGGUGAAAUUCGUAGAUAUCGGGAGGAACACCAGUGGCGAAGGCGGCGAUCUGGGAAGAUACUGACGCUGAGGUGCGAAAGCGUGGGGAGCAAACAGG
rnacentral:rRNA from 1 species